ACUUAAAUUGAAGAGUUUGAUCAUGGCUCAGAUUGAACGCUGGCGGCAGGCCUAACACAUGCAAGUCGAGCGGUAGCACAGAGAGCUUGCUCUCGGGUGACGAGCGGCGGACGGGUGAGUAAUGUCUGGGAAACUGCCUGAUGGAGGGGGAUAACUACUGGAAACGGUAGCUAAUACCGCAUAAUGUCGCAAGACCAAAGUGGGGGACCUUCGGGCCUCAUGCCAUCAGAUGUGCCCAGAUGGGAUUAGCUAGUAGGUGGGGUAACGGCUCACCUAGGCGACGAUCCCUAGCUGGUCUGAGAGGAUGACCAGCCACACUGGAACUGAGACACGGUCCAGACUCCUACGGGAGGCAGCAGUGGGGAAUAUUGCACAAUGGGCGCAAGCCUGAUGCAGCCAUGCCGCGUGUGUGAAGAAGGCCUUCGGGUUGUAAAGCACUUUCAGCGGGGAGGAAGGCGUUGAGGUUAAUAGCCUCAUCGAUUGACGUUACCCGCAGAAGAAGCACCGGCUAACUCCGUGCCAGCAGCCGCGGUAAU
rnacentral:rRNA from 1 species